ACAUUUUCUGCAUCCAAGCUAGUUCAGAAGAACAGGAGAAGAAUAUGGGCCCAGGUGGAUUUGGAACCUCUUCCCAAUUUGGAAUGUUUACUUUUUGAUUUAAUAGUGGGCACUGCAAUUUGACAACAAUCAAUAACAUACUGUCACAUUUUGGGACAUCUACCAUGAUAUCCUGGCUUCUUCAGAGCUGUUCCCAGUUGGAAAGAAGAUGAGAAAAAGAUGAGCAUAGCAGGGGAACAAAAUAGCUGCUAUGCUGUGAAAAUAAAAUAUUGGAGGGUGGUGUUAAAGGUGAAACCGGUCUAUCACACUGGAUUGUCACUUGCCUUGAAUCUGGCAUUCUUUCAACAGGAUAACCACAGCGAAUAAAGUUUUCUCUACAAUAAGAUUUUGUUAUUCCAAUUUAAGAUGGUCUUAUAGAUGG